GGAGUAAGGAGGCUAGUCAGCACAGCAGUCAGAGCUCACAUCACAUUUAUGACACUGAGACUGAAGUCAGGAAGGCAGGCCAUUGGGAAGGAAAGAUGGUGAAGUGGGGAAGGAACAGGACACAUUGGAGCACAUAAGAGUGAGCUGGAACACAUGCAGGUCUCUUGUCAGCUCCAGCUCCCAACAUCAGUGCUAUUUCUGGCUAGAUGUGAAACUGGUGCCCUUUCCUGUGAAGCUAACCACAGCACUGGCCCAAGAGUCACAGAAGAUAAAGGAAGAGACCCAAGAGGAGUUGGACGAGCAAGUCCUGCUGCUGCUGCAGACGCUGCACACACUGGUCUAGGAUUUUGAGAAACUGAAGGAGGAGAUCCAGCUGUUGCUGGAGUGACUGUCAGCUGGCCCUGCUCCACUUAGACAAGGUGAGCCAGCCCAUCAGAAACAAUGUGCCUGAUUUGCAAUGGCACCCGAUGUCUUGCAUUGUAAUUGCAUUGACCUUCCCAGUAUAAAAGGAUAUGACUGUUGCUGCUUCUCUUCCACUUUUCAAAUGUCAUCUAAAGUAUCUCUUGCAGCCCACAGGAAUUUGGAAUUAUGCUAAAAAGUGGAUUCUGAGAAUCAUGUUUGUAACUUAAAUGAGCUUACACAGUGCAUAUCACCUUGCAUAUGUCAAAAUAAAAAAUGAAAUAAAAAUCGAUACAAUCUCUUCUUCUCCCUGGAGUAAAGACAGUAUCUUUUUUCUGAAUACUAUGUGUUCAUCAGUCUUCUCAUCACAGCUUCAGUGCCUGUAUCAGAUAACAUCUUAGGAAGUCUCAUCCAGGCUACCCUUCCUCCAGACACACUGGAUAUGAUCUUAAUUGCUAGAAUAUUAAGAGAAGAUAAUAAGAUAAGAAGGGAAGCAGCAACCAUAUGAUGUGAUAAUUGUGAGUCUGGGACCUGGAAGCUUUACAAAAGAUAUUGGGUAAUAAAGACUUGGAGACUUACAUGUUUAACUUCCUUAUCCAGAGUGAUCUGAUGGGCAUAUUUAUUAUGAUGAUGGUAAAGAUAUUAAGUUCAAAUUCAACCCCCAUCUGAGAGGACUGGAAGACUGUUUAAGUUGUCAGGGUAGCCUGACAAUGAACCAGGGCUGCAUACAAACCAUUAGUGAAAACUGCAAAGAUACAUGUAACACACAGGCAAAUAUACAAAGAGAACCUUGUAUGGAGUGUAAAAGAAGCAUACGCCUACAAACUGCUGGAGGCUUUGAAAGCAAUUUACCGAGAAAGCUUUUUACAGUGGCCCACUUUGGAGCCAUCGAUAAUUAACUAAACAAAUAUUUCAGAGUGUAUCCAACUGGUUUCAGCCAAUUUCCUUAGGGAGUUGUGAUACUUUAAAUUCCAUAUAAUGAUACUGUUGGAUCAGUGUCUUCAGCUGCAGUAUGUAAGCACACAGGACUUGAUUCAUGAUCAUAUGGGUAAUAAUUUGAGAUCAAUAUUUUAAAUAAUGUAAUAGAAAACCAGCAAGGAAUCUCUCACAAGUAAUAAAUAGCGCUUGAGCCUUAGUUGUGGGUAUAUGGAGUCAUUAUGAAUUCUGCCAAGUAUAUAGAUUUAUGCUUAUACAAAUUACUGAGUGAUAAAAGACAACAUUUCUCAUAAUAGCAAUAUGGUUUCAUAACCUAUCCAAGAGCAUAGGUUUCUUCAUGUAGGACACCAAGAAACCAAAGCAUUAUUCUAACCACUUAUUCAUAAUAGGUCUGACUUUAGCAGCUGAUAUUUCUGCCUUGCAGAGACUCUGUUUUUCCCAGUCUUGAGAUGAGAUGUGAAGCUUGUCUUAUUCACACUGCGUGGCAUAUGGAAAGAAGCUCAGGCUUUAGAGGCAGAAAUACAUCUGCUCGAGGGAUCUGCUUAGUGCUAGUUUCUGCUUCUGUAAAAUGCGAAU
rnacentral:lncRNA from 1 species